rnacentral:rRNA from 1 species
CCUACGGGCGGCAGCAGUGGGGAAUAUUGCGCAAUGGGCGAAAGCCUGACGCAGCGACGCCGCGUGAGGGAUGAAGGUCUUCGGAUCGUAAACCUCUGUCAGCAGGGAAGAACGGUCACUGUGCUAAUCAGCAGUGAAUUGACGGUACCUGCAAAGGAAGCACCGGCUAACUCCGUGCCAGCAGCCGCGGUAAUACGGAGGGUGCGAGCGUUACUCGGAAUUACUGGGCGUAAAGCGCUCGUAGGCGGUAUGUCAAGUCAAGUGUGAAAUCCCCGGGCUCAACGUGGGAACUGCCUUUGAAACUGGCAGACUGGAGUGUGUGAGAGGAUAGUGGAAUUCCAGGUGUAGGAGUGAAAUCCGUAGAUAUCUGGAGGAACAUCAGUGGCGAAGGCGACUAUCUGGCACAUAACUGACGCUGAGGAGCGAAAGCGUGGGUAGCAAACAGUAUUAGAGACCCGGGUAGUC